UGGAGUUGGUCAGGGUUUGCGCUCAGCCAACUUGUCCCGCCGUAAGGCAGAUUUUUCGGAGUUUUUAUCAUGGCAUUGUCCGUAGAACAAAAAGCACAAAUCGUUAAAGAUUUCCAACGCAAAGAA
rfam:Neisseria shayeganii 871 genomic scaffold SCAFFOLD1, whole genome shotgun sequence.